rnacentral:rRNA from 1 species
AAACAACCCAUGCGCAUCUCCUUCCCAAACAUAGGGGGAGGAGACCGCUCCAGUCUCCACCCUCUACCUCGCCUCCAGUCGCCAGACGGCGCCACCUCCGCCGCCUGCCGCCGCCCGUCUGCGGAAUGGUCUGCGCCCCGACGGCGGGGGUGGAGGUGCUGCCGCCUCGCGGGGGUGUCUCCGCCCGGCGCUCCUGGCCGCCGAGCUGCGGCCGCGUCCCCGAGAACGGCGACGGCGAGAGGGGCGUCCAGGGCACGGCGGACGAGGCGGCCGGCCACGCGGGCGUUUCCUCUGCGGCGUGCAACGGCGGGCUCCCGCGCGAACCCCCUCAGCCGCAGCCGCCCGGCGACGGGGAUGCACGUCCCUCAGAUAGCCAGGCAGAGAUCAGGGCGCUAGAUGUGAUGCCGCUGGCGUUCGCUGCCCCACGGAAAUGUGCCGUUGCUCCUGCUAAUGGUUCCAUGGAAGAUGGCGGUCGUAUGGCCGAUUCGUUGAAUGUGGAGGGGCAAUUGGUCAGGGAUGAGGAUGUUGUUAUUGGCAAUGGAGAUGACAGUGUUGUGGGAAGCAGAGUGGACGACGGUGAAUUGGAGAGGGAGGAGGACGAGAGCAGAAAGAAGAGGUGGUCGGCAUCUGUCAUGAAUCCGCCUCCCAAGAGGAGAGCGGUCUCAGCCAAGCGCAGAUUUCCGCCUGGCUGUGGGAGUGUUGCUGCUACCGGCAUCGGCGUCAGAGGUUGUGGUGUUUCUCUGAUGUUGAAGCGAGAUGAUUCUAAUCACGAAACAGAAAGCAAAAGAGAAGAGGUCGGAGGUGCCACCGAGGCACACAAUCAUAUGCAAGAAUCUCAAGUCGUCAAUUGUGUUGCUCCAGAUGAUUUUGCAGACCGUCCGCAAAAUUAUGUUGGUCAUGGCGCUUCUCCGAUUUUGAGGCGAGAUAAUUCUAAUAAUGAAACAGANNNNNNNNNNNNNNNNNNNNNNNNNNNNNNNNNNNNNNNNNNNNNNNNNNNNNNNNNNNNNNNNNNNNNNNNNNNNNNNNNNNNNNNNNNNNNNNNNNNNNNNNNNNNNNNNNNNNNNNNNNNNNNNNNNNNNNNNNNNNNGCGAGAUGAUUCUAAUCACGAAACAGAAGGCAAAAGAAAAGAGGUCGGAGGUGCCACCGGGGCACACAAUCAUACGCAAGAAUCUCAAGUCAUCAAUUGUGUCGCUCCAGAUGAUUUUGCAGACCGCCCACGAAAUUAUGCUGGUCAUGGUGCUUCUCCGAUUUUGAGGCGAGAUGAUUCUAAUGUGGAUAUAGAAGGCAAAAUAGAAGAGGUUGGAGGAGCUACCGAGGCACACAAUGAGAAGAUCCAAGAAUCUCAAGUCGUCAACGUUAUUGUUCAAGAUGGUUUUGCAAGAGGCCAACGCGGCCAUGAUAAUCCGCUAAAUGAUGUUACAGACGACUCACCAAGACAUAGUUUCUCAGAGCAGAUGAAUGGUAGAAGACUAUUACGUGAAAGGAAGCGCGCACCACUAGUAGUGGGGAACACUGAGAUUAGAAGCAGACGCGAAGGACGUGUGCAUGAUGGCACUCCGAGGACUCAUCCAAGAGGCCCACUUAAUGUGAAGAGAAAGGGCAAGAGUGCAGAGAUUGUCAAGAUCAAUGUGACAUUGGUAGAUGAUGCAGGGGUGAUUGACGUGAUACGCUCGGCAUCCAAGUGUGGAGAGCAUGUUGCGACCAAUCAAAUUGAAGAUAAGGAUGGUGUGGGCCUUAAUACUAAUAGGGUAAUUAUACAAGCAUUGAUGGCUCCAGACAGAUGCCCUUGGACGCAACGAAAGAAAUCUAUUGCCAGUGUUCCUAAAUCGCUUGGUCCUAGGAAAAAUGUGAAGAAAAAGGUUGCUACUCCAAGGAAAGAAUUGCACUCCAAAGUUACCCCUUCUACACCGGCUAGGCGCAAGGCAAGAGAGGGCGGAGAAGAUUCCUCCUCAAAAGAUGAUGAGAAAUCUUUGGCACGACUUGCGCAUGAAAGAAAUAAUAAAUCAUGCGUCAACAUCUCUCGAUGUCCUCCUUCCGACGAGGUGAGUGUUCAUAAGAUUGAUGAGAGAAGUCGAUUGAGCGAUCCAAAGGAUGUACCACUUGUAGCGGGGGUUGUUGAUGUAAAAACCAAAUGUGAAGGAAGCUUGCAAGAAGGUACUCCGAGGAACCAUGUGAGAGCUCUUGUUAAUGUGAAGACAAAGGGCAAGAAACCAGAUAAUGUCAAGGUGAAUGUGACAUUGUUAGAUGAUAGGCGGGUCUUUGAAGAUGACAAGACGAGAAACCAAAUUUCAAGAACUCGGAGAGGAGUGGCGCGCUCCUCAAAUAUUAAAAACGUGAAGAAAGGCAUGUUUGCUCAUAAGCGCGAUGGCAUCGACAAGGACUCUGGGAAUAAGUUCACAAAGGAGUCUAAGUGUGGGGAUCAUCUUCAGACUGAUCAAAUUAAAGAAAAUGAUAAUGUCGGCCUUGUUACCAACAAGAUGACUGUAUUAGCAUUGAUGGCUCCUGACAAAUGCCUGUGGACAGAAGGGAAGAGGUCUAUUGUUGGUGUUUCUCAGUCUCUCACUUGUAGGAAUAAUAACUCUCUUACCGUUCAUGAAGGCCUUUGUUUGUCUGACAUAUCUCAAGGAAAAGAGAGCAUUCCCAUAUGUGUGAUCAACACAAUUGAUGGCGUGCUGCCAACGCCAUUUAAGUACAUCACCAAAGUCAUAUAUCCGCCCUCAUAUGCAAAAGCACCUUCAAUAGGCUGUGACUGCACUAAUGGUUGCUCGGACUCUAGUGAAUGUGCUUGUGCUGUGAAAAAUGGAGGGGAGAUCCCAUUCAAUUUGAAUAGCGCAAUUGUUUAUACAAAGCCUCUCAUAUAUGAGUGUGGCCCAUCAUGCAGGUGCCCACCAACAUGCCACAAUAGGGUGAGCCAGCACGGCCCCAAAGUUCCACUGGAAAUAUUCAAGACUGGGAAGACAGGUUGGGGUGUAAGAUCCCUCAGUUUUAUCCCUUCAGGUAGUUUCGUAUGUGAGUAUGUAGGUGAGGUAUUGCAAGAGACAGAAGCUGAGAGGACAGAAAAUGAUGAGUACCUUUUUGAUAUUGGUCGUGACGAUGACGAUGACGAUGAUGAUGACGAUGACGAUGAUGACGAUGAAGAAAAAGAUUCACAAUCUUCUAAAUCCGAGAUGACAGCGGAGGGCUUGGGCUAUACAAUAGAUGCUGCAAAGUGUGGUAAUGUUGGAAGAUUCAUCAACCAUAGCUGCACUCCAAACAUGCAUGCACAGGAUGUUCUCUGGGACCAUGAUGAUAAGAGGAUGCCGCAUGUUAUGCUUUUCGCCGAAAAGAAUAUCCGUCCGCUACAAGAGCUUACUUACGAUUAUAAUUAUAACAUAGGUAAUGUGCGCAAGAAUGGCAAGGUGAAGGAGAAGAAAUGCUUCUGUGGUUCGUCGAAGUGCCGCCUCAGGCUUUACUAAGGUAUUGGUGACUGAUGAUGGUAAUGUUCAUAUUUCGGCGGAAUGCAGUCCUGUCAGCGCAGUGCUCCUUGGUCUUACUCUCCCGGUCACCUUGCAAUUGUCGAUGGCUUGUGAUGUUUUUUUCUUGCUACCCUAGCGUUGAAUUAGUACUGCUUUUUAAAGAGCUGCAUUAGCUCAUUCUGCUGUUAGCUUUAUGUUCAGAACCGAACCUGUACUGGGUACAUGAGUUCUGGCUGUAGCUUUUCUCUGUCACAAAUUUUACAUAAUCAAGCAUUGUUGCUGUCCUUUUAAGCAUUAUUCCAGACACUGCGCAAGCAGGAGCUAAGUGCAC